UACAGAGGUCCCAAGCGUUGUUCGGAUUCACUGGGCGUAAAGGGUGCGUAGGCGGCCGGGUAAGUCUGAUGUGAAAUCUCCGAGCCUAACUCGGAAACUGCAUCGGAUACUAUUCGGCUAGAGGAUUGGAAGGGAGACUGGAAUUCUCGGUGUAGCAGUGAAAUGCGUAGAUAUCGAGAGGAACACCAGUGGCGAAGGCGAGUCUCUGGACAGUUCCUGACGCUGAGGCACGAAGGUCAGGGGAGCAAACGGG
rnacentral:rRNA from 1 species